rnacentral:lncRNA from 1 species
AUCUUAUGAAGGGUGGAGAUUCAAAACCCGGUGAGCCCCAUCAAGUGCUGAUAGGAGUGCUCAUGGUUCGAACCAAAGCUGCUAAAUGGUUUUGUACAGUAGACUUCUAAAGAGUAGAGAACUUCUCUCCUAAUCUUGGUCUUAAUUUAAUGACAAAAAUCGCCGUUCUCAAGCCACUGGAAUCCCAUUGAAUGAAAGAGUCAAUCGCACAGUCUUAGCUGUGGCGCUUACAAGGUUUGGUAUGUCCUCUCCAUAUAUGCUAGAGUCCAAAUCUGCCGUGCUGAGGAAAAACGCCGUAUGAACCUUUAGGCGUUCCCAAGUUUCCUUUGAUAAAACACGAAUUCCCUGGUAAACUUGUGAAUAUUUUCCUUUCGAUUUUCCGGAUAAUUUUGCUCGCAAUUUCACCUGAAGUGCUUGAAAAUUUCAAAGAAAAACAUGCAUAACUUUCCUUAAAAUACAAAUUAUAGUAGGAAAUUUUGCAACUCUCGAAUGUUCAUAUCGUGUUCUUCCUUAGCACGGUAGAAAAACUCUGGCUCCGAUGCCUUCCAAGGGUUGUCAUAGGCAAAGCUGAAUCACGAAGACCGCGACACCCCGAGAGAUCGUACCGAGACAAGAAUCCCACUACCCGUAACAACAACCCUGUUGACCCGUUGACUCGCUGGAAUUACGUUGCAGUUCAGAUUGCGCUCAUGACGUCACUCGAGGAGGGAUCCGUGAAAAUCCAUCCUAGGCGCCUAGAGCAAAUCCUAAACACGGAGAUCGUGACACCCCGAGAGCUCGUAACGAAACAAGAAUCCCACUACCCGUAACAACAACCCCGUUGACUCGCUGGAUUUACGUUGCAGUUCAGAUGGCGCUCAUGACGUCACUUCCGCGAAAAUCCAUCGUAGGCGCUUAGAGCGAAUCACCAACCGAUCUCUCGAGGCCCGAUGACGAGGAUUUUAUUGGCCGUUUGGAUUUCCAACACCUGGCGGCAACAUCGUUCUCCCGUCGAUUAAAAAGCCUUCCUCAUCUUGUAGAUGUAGACGAUGCUCCUAAUAGGUUGUUCCGCUCUCCAUUCCCGGGUGGUGGGGGUAUUUCACCUUUCCAGGCUGCAGCUGUUCGGCGCUCGGGCGAGCUAAACGUAAGGAGAAUUGACAAAUACUCGGCACAGAUGGUGCAAGAGCAUUACGUAAUUUACGACGGGCACGUACCCCGGCCGCGCGGUGGUGGUGGUGGUGGUGCGAGAUGUAGCCCGGGUAUAAAUUCCGUAUAAAAGAUUCCUCACCCUCUUGAGCUCUUGAUAAGUUGCUCCCCGAGCCCCUCCCCUCCCCGCCGGCCGCCGGCCAAGGAAAUGUUUCCACAAAAGAAUUAAUAAUAAUACGCCCGAGGAGGAAGAAGCCGGGAGGGGGAGGGGCGAAAAAAUAUCCUGUCCCUUUUGUGAUGCCAAUGGGUACGGUUCCGUUUGAAAGGAGCUGAAUGCUGUUUGAAAAUUGGGAAGAAAGAGUGGUGAAUAAAGGAGCUAGUUUCUUAAAGUAAAUACCGAUUUGGGUUCUUUCGGUCCUUUUUCUCGCGCGGGGAGAGGGGGGGAGGAGCGUCUCGGUUCCGUUCCGCCCGGCCGCGGUGAAACCGCGCAAGUCCCGCCCGGGUUCCGGUGGCGGUUGCGCGGUUCUCGGGGGUAGCGUCGUCGUGGAACCCGGAUCCCGGAUCGAGGUCCUGCGCCUGCGCGUCUCGCGGGGUUUCGCGGGGUUGCCGAAAUUGGCGCCCGGAACAAAGGCGGAGGACUGGGACACUGGAGGUGCUUCGUGGUCGGGGUGGCAGGCACUGAGCCACCGGCCAAUGGUAGAAACCAGGCAUUGCGAUGUGUGCUUCUUCAGGGUUACCACAGAAUGAAGAAAUUGAAAUUCCCUGAUAUUUCCCUCGUUUCCCUGGCACAUUUUGAUAAGAUUCCCUGAAAAUUGAACAGGGUGUCUAGUAUUUUUCAAUUUUGAAAAAUCUUGAUAUUUUCCUGAUUAUUCCUGAUAUUUUAUAAAAAAUUCCUGAUUUUUUUUCAUUUUGAAAAUUCCUGAUAUUUUCCUGAUUUUUCUCGACUCCUGGCACGGUAGGCAAAAUGCAGUAAGACUUUCUCCGCUGAGGAAAUUCGCGUCUAAAAAAUUCCUGAUAAAACGUCCGAUUUUUCUGAUUUUCCUGAUAUUUUCCGGUUUUUCCUGAUGCUAGACACCCUGUUGAAGAUAUGGUUAAAAAAGACAGUUUUAAAUUGGUUCUUCACUCAAAAACUGUUGUUUGACACGUCAAAUCUAGUCUAGAAAUCAAAUAAAGGUGACUUGAUAAAUUUUCUCUGACAUUUUCCCUGACAAUUCCAGGUUUUUCCUGACUUUUUAAAAUUUCCUGACAUUUCCCACUUUUCCGGUAUUCCCUGACUGUGGCAACCCUGGUUUCUUUGUGUUCGACUGAAGAGAAGGUACUGGAAUACUUGGAUUGCAUUUUGCGGAAAGGAACAAAGAGCAUUCCAUUGUUGCUGGGAGUGUGCGACUUACAUCCUUCGUAACCAAGAAGUGACUCAAAUGUUUUAAAACGUUCAUACGGUUUUAAAGAAUCGAGAAGUUUCAUAUUAAUGGCUAGAGGGCUCUUUUGGGGACGGAAUAGCAGGAGCUAAAAACAUUGAUUCACCGCAAUAUUUCGGAAGAGGUCGGGUUUUUCGUAGUUAAACACUCCCUCCCCUUCAGUUGGCUCUUUGAAACAACCAAAAGAGAAU